UAGGGAAUCUUCGGCAAUGGACGGAAGUCUGACCGAGCAACGCCGCGUGAGUGAAGAAGGUUUUCGGAUCGUAAAGCUCUGUUGUAAGAGAAGAAUGAGUGUGAGAGUGGAAAGUUCACACUGUGACGGUAUCUUACCAGAAAGGGACGGCUAACUACGUGCCAGCAGCCGCGGUAAUACGUAGGUCCCGAGCGUUGUCCGGAUUUAUUGGGCGUAAAGCGAGCGCAGGCGGUUAGAUAAGUCUGAAGUUAAAGGCUGUGGCUUAACCAUAGUACGCUUUGGAAACUGUUUAACUUGAGUGCAAGAGGGGAGAGUGGAAUUCCAUGUGUAGCGGUGAAAUGCGUAGAUAUAUGGAGGAACACCGGUGGCGAAAGCGGCUCUCUGGCUUGUAACUGACGCUGAGGCUCGAAAGCGUGGGGAGCAAACAGGAUUAGAUACCCUGGUAGUCCACGCCGUAACGAUGAGUGCUAGGUGUUAGACCCUUUCCGGGGUUUAGUGCCGCAGCUAACGCAUUAAGCACUCCGCCUGGGGAGUACGACCGCAAGGUU
rnacentral:rRNA from 1 species